ensembl:lncRNA
GGGGAGGAUCUUUGCCUGGUGAGCCCUCCUUGGUGAAGCUUCUUCCUGUGAAUCUGGAAUUUUCUGGUACAGGGGAGCAAUCUUCUUCCCUUCCUUUAUAGCACCUCUCUGUUGUGUGAUGACAGAAGGACUAGCACCUCCGUUGUAUUGCUUUUCCUAUUGUACUGAUCUGUCUAAUUGCUACAGUGUAUCUACUAAAAGCAAAAGAAAAGAAUAUCAAGCAAAAUGAACUUUAUUGCCCUUUUAAGGAUACAGUAUAGUACACUUCAGAAAUACCCUCUCAUCUGUGGAUUUGCCACAAGGUUUCUUACAAUGACUAACAGUAGAAGGAAAUGUGCUCUGAAGGGGUGUGCUUGCAAGUCGGCUCAAGAGAAAUGAAAAUCGUUGUAGCGGGGACCCUGCCUGGGAGCAGAGCAUUACCAAAUACGUUACUAUGCAAAGAAUCUCAUGUUGAAUAAUUUAGAAAUACCUUUUUGUUAGUGGUCAAGUAAAACAUGGCAACAGAGGGUAAUCUCAGGAAAAAGAGGGGAUAAAAACAUCUCUAUCAAGCCCAGACUUGAUGGGAAAGGAAGAGCUGAACAAGUGUGCGUGUCUGGGGGUGUUCAUCUUCUAGACUGCACCCAGAGAAGGAGAAUGAUUGUGAUGCUGCAGUCUCGGAACUCCAGUCAGUACACAAAUGGAAGGAUUUCUGGGCUGAGAUGAAUUUAUCUCCGCAGCUUCUAAUCUUUUGGAUUUUGUGUUCUAGUGCAGUGAAGCUUUUGGGCAUGAUUUAUCAUCACUAUAGCUAACACUGUAUGGGAAAAAAACUGACUUUAGAUCUUACAUCAAAGCUUUUAACAAAGCUUGUUUCCCUGGAUUUUACUUGCUUUCCAUUGUCUCCACCUCUCUGGUGCCUCUUUAAAAUAUAUGCCUAAUCUGAAAGCUGAGUGCAAGAAAUAUUUGUCUGACUUGUUUGCUCCCAUUCCGAAUCUUAUAAACACUAGUCUCUGUUGUGAAGGAGUCAUGCAUCAUUAAGAGUAAAUCUUUCUCGUACAAAAGCAAGAAAACAGAAGCAGUUCAAAUGUUGCUUCUUACAGCAGUACAGCAUCUCAGAACAGAGAAAAACACGG